UACGUAGGGUGCGAGCGUUGUCCGGAAUUAUUGGGCGUAAAGAGCUCGUAGGCGGUCUGUCGCGUCUGCUGUGAAAUCCCGAGGCUCAACCUCGGGCUUGCAGUGGGUACGGGCAGGCUAGAGUGCGGUAGGGGAGAAUGGAACUCCUGGUGUAGCGGUGGAAUGCGCAGAUAUCAGGAGGAACACCGGUGGCGAAGGCGGUUCUCUGGGCCUGUACUGACGCUGAGGAGCGAAAGCGUGGGGAGCGAACAGG
rnacentral:rRNA from 1 species